rnacentral:rRNA from 1 species
UACGAGGGAUCCUAGCGUUGUUCGGAAUCAUUGGGCGUAAAGGGUGUGUAGGCGGCCAUGUAAGUCAGUUGUGAAAGCCCUGGGCUCAACCCGGGAAGUGCUUCUGAUACUGCUUGGCUUGAGUAUUGGAUAGGUGAGUGGAAUUCCAGGUGUAGUGGUGAAAUACGUAGAUAUCUGGAGGAACACCGGCGGCGAAGGCGGCUCACUGGCCAUAUACUGACGCUGAAACACGAAAGCGUGGGUAGCAAACAGG